CAAAAUCUUAAAGAGUGCAGGGGUGCGGGCCGAGGGCCGGAAGAACCAAAAAGAAAGAGGGGGUAGAUGGCGUUGUGCGGCGGCGGCGGGUGCCAGUCCUCCUGCCGGAGGCCGGAAGAAGACGACGGCGCGGCGGAGGAGGCCCGAGAGAGGCUCGACAGUCUCCACGUCGCCGGCGAGCGCUCCUCCAUCGCCGGAACCGGGGACCGGGCGCGGUGCUCCAAGUGCGGAGAGGAGGGCCGGUACUGCAACAGCCUGUGCGCGGCCUGCUUCCGGGUCUCGGUUUAUAACAAGUUCAAGCUCGCUGUCACAUCCAACGCCAUGAUUUCCCCCACCGAUAACAUCCUCGUCGCCUUCUCCGGCGGCCACGCCUCCAGAGUAGCCCUGCAAUUUGUUCAUGAGAUGCAAGGCAAAUCAUUGAAGAACUGGGAUGCAAGUAAAUCUCAAGCUCUACCAGUUUUUGGUGUUGGGGUUGCCUUUAUCGAUGAAAGCAUUUUUUCUCACAACCCAUCAGAUGAGACAGAAAAGGCAAUUGAAGAGAUUAGAUCAGUUGUGUCAAAUUUAACUCCUCCACAUAAAGAAUUGCAUAUUAUACCUAUUGAAAACAUCUGUUCUCUGAGUUCUGAGAAUGGGAGGAGCAGACUGAAUGAAUUACUGGAAAUGAUCACUGAUGCCACCGGAAAAGAUGAUUUUCUGCAUUCUUUACGAAUGCUUUCCUUACAAAAGAUUGCUUUCGAUAAAGGGUAUAGCAAAAUAUUGUUAGGAUCGUGCACGUCAACAAUAGCACGCCAUGUAUUAUCCGCAACAGUGAAGGGUCAAGGUUAUUCUUUACCUGCUGAUGUGCAGUAUGUUGAAGCAAGGCGGGAAGUCCCAGUGGUUCUUCCUCUUCGUGAUUGUCUUGCACAAGAGCUCAGCAUGCUCUGUCGUCUUGAUGGUUUCAAGACACAGCAGCUUCUUGAGAGGCCUUGUACUGGCAUCAACAGUUUGGUUUCAUCAUUUGUUGCACGUUUACAGGUUAAUUUUGCAGGAAGAAAACCCUUCUCGAGAACGCACUAUAGUAAGAACAGUGGAAAAGCUUAGACCCUUUGGUUUUAAUAAAUUCAGUGAAAAUGGUUAUCAUGAUUUCCUGCCAUCCCGACUGCGUUGCAAGUUUCAGAAUGUCAAAAAUGGUGAAUCUUCUCUCUCUGAUGUUCUUUGUCCAAUAUGCGAAGGCCCACUUAGUGAAUCAGAAAUCCAAUGUUUGGAAAGCAUUCAGAGCAAGGCUGGAAGAAAAGUUGAAAUUUUUGCUGCCCAGUGUUGCAAAAGCUGUAAUUUUCAGAUCUUGCCAAAAGGAGCAGCCUCUCUUGAGCAUUUCUAUUCAGUUCUACCCCAGUUGAUGACACAGAGAAUGAAGGAUAGCUUGGGUUUUGACCGAAGCCAGCAAAGGGAACAAAUAGAGGAUUUCCUGCUUGCUGAUGAUGAUGAUGGAACCUGAACUUCAUUUGCUUGAUUGAACAGGAAGAAAUCGAUCAGAUUGUGGUUGUUUGCUCCAUCUCUGAAUCAUGUUGCAAACUCAGCUGCUCGGUGCAAGCUGCAUUCUUAUUUUUGGUUCGAUCGACAAAUCUUCAGCUAUAUAUAGUGCCCAUGGGUGCUGGUGCUAUGACUACAUAAAUACGUAAUUGCUGCUUUCCCAGUGAUGCUGUGGGUUGCAUUUAAUUUCAUGCCUCGAUUGAAUGUCCUAGUUUUAAAACAUUCUAGCAUGAGUUUUAUUUUUCAUAAACUUGAGAUCUAUGAGAAUCUAAUAUUUUGUUGCAUAAGUUUUGAAGU